AGCAGCCGCGGUAAUUCCAGCUCCAAUAGCGUAUAUUAAAGUUGUUGCAGUUAAAAAGCUCGUAGUUGAAUUUCGAGAUCAAAUUGUUGGUCGUGCCUCGGUACGUACUGGUAAUUUUGGUUUCUCCCUUCUGAAGAACCAUGAUGUCAUUAGUUUGGUGUCUUGGGGAAUCAGGACUGUUACUUUGAAAAAAUUAGAGUGUUUAAAGCAGGCUCGCGCUUGAAUACAUUAGCAUGGAAUAAUGAAAUAGGACGUUUGAUUCUAUUUUGUUGGUUUCUAGGAUCGACGUAAUGAUUAAUAGGGAUAGUUGGGGGCAUUAGUAUUCAAUUGUCAGAGGUGAAAUUCUUGGAUUUAUUGAAGACUAACUACUGCGAAAGCAUUUGCCAGGGAUGUUUUCAUUAAUCAAGAACGAAAGUUAGGGGAUCGAAGACGAUCAGAUACCGUCGUAGUCUUAACCAUAAACUAUGCCGACUAGGGAUCGGAUGAUGUUAAUUUUUAAUGACUCAUUCGGCGCCUUACG
rnacentral:rRNA from 1 species